GUGCAGCAGUCGCGAAAACUUUACAAUGUGCGAAAGCACGAUAAGGGAACUCUGAGUGCCUCCUAAGGAGGCUGUUCAGGUGUCUAAAAAGCACCUGGAGUAAGGGCUGGGUAAGACCGGUGCCAGCCGCCGCGGUAACACCGGCAGCCCAGGUGGUAGCCACUUUUAUUGGGUCUAAAGCGUCCGUAGCCGGUUGAGUAAGUUCCUUGGGAAAUUUGGCUGCUCAACAGUCAAGCUUCCAGGGAAUACUGCUCGACUUGGGACUGGGAGAGGUCAGAGGUACUCCAGGGGUAGGGGUGAAAUCCAUUAAUCCCUGGGGGACCACCGGUAGCGAAGGCGUCUGACCAGACCAGGUCCGACGGUGAGGGACGAAGGCUAGGGUCGCGAACCGGAUUAGAUACCCCUGUAGU
rnacentral:rRNA from 1 species